GAUGAACGCUGGCGGCGUGCCUAAUACAUGCAAGUCGAGCGAACGGACGAGAAGCUUGCUUCUCUGAUGUUAGCGGCGGACGGGUGAGUAACACGUGGAUAACCUACCUAUAAGACUGGGAUAACUUCGGGAAACCGGAGCUAAUACCGGAUAAUAUUUUGAAACGCAUGGUUCAACAGUGAAAGACGGUCUUGCUGUCACUUAUAGGUGGAUCCGCGCUGCAUUAGCUAGUUGGUAAGGUAACGGCUUACCAAGGCAACGAUGCAUAGCCGACCUGAGAGGGUGAUCGGCCACACUGGAACUGAGACACGGUCCAGACUCCUACGGGAGGCAGCAGUGGGGAAUCUUCCGCAAUGGGCGAAAGCCUGACGGAGCAAUGCCGCGUGAGUGAUGAAGGUCUUCGGAUCGUAAAACUCUGUUAUUAGGGAGGAACAGAAGUGUAAGUAACUGUGGACAUCUUGACGUUACCUAAUCAGAAAGCCACGGCUAACUACGUG
rnacentral:rRNA from 1 species